rnacentral:rRNA from 1 species
GACGAACGCUGGCGGCGUGCCUAAUACAUGCAAGUAGAACGCUGACGGAGGAGCUUGCUUCUCUGGAUGAGUUGCGGACGGGUGAGUAUCGCGUAGGUAACCUGCCUGGCAGCGGCGGAUAACUAUUGGAAACGAUAGCUACUAUCGCAUAAUAGUAGAUGUUGCAUGACAUUUGCUUAAACGGUGCACUUGCCUCGCUACCAGAUGGAGCUGCGUUGUUUUAGCUAGUUGGUGGGGUAACAGCUCACCAAGGCCAAGAUACAUAGCCGGCCUGAGAAGGGGGUCGACCACCCUGGGACUGGGACACGGCCCAAGCUCCUACGGGAGGCAGCAGUAGGGAAUCUUCGGCAAUGGACGGAAGUCUGACCGAGCAAAGCCGCGGGGGUGAAGGAGGGUUUCCGAUCGUUAAACUCUGUUGGAAGGGAAGGACGAGCGGGAGAGUGGAAAGUUCACGCUGUGACGGUAUCUAACCAGAAAGCGACGGCUAACUACGUG